CUGUGACGGCUAGGAAGUGACAUUCUGGCCUCAGCUCAGGGGGUGUGGGCUGCAGUGUCUGCCUGCCAGACUGCUUUGCUCCAUCUUCCAUUAUCCAAGAGGAACCUGCCAGGAUUUGAGUGUUCGCUGAAUGUUGGAAGUGGGACUUUCACACUUACUGUGGAGUCAACAAAGGCCGGAAUGGUGUGGAGCAGAUGAUCUGAAAGGCUGACCGCUACUCCUGAUCUUCAACGAUGGGCUGUGUUCAUUGUAAAGAGAAGAAGUCCUCAAAGUCUCAAGGGGUCGCAGCAGAUGGCAUUCAGCAGACUGAUCGUUAUGGCCCCGAUCCUACCAACGUAAGCCAGCAGAGCCACUUCACCAACAUUCCCAACUUUAACAACUUCCAGAGUACACCGGUGCCAUCAGCCACAAGCUUCACACCCUCUAACCCAUAUCCUUCCAACACACUGCAGUCCCGAGGCGGUGGAGGAGGAGGUGGCGUAGGCAGCAUCACAAGUGGAGGAGUGACUCUUUUUGUGGCUCUUUAUGAUUAUGAUGCCCGAACUGAGGAUGAUCUGAGCUUCAGGAAGAGUGAAAAAUUCCACAUCAUCAAUAACACUGAAGGGGACUGGUGGGAAGCUCGAUCUCUUGACACCGGAAACACCGGCUACAUUCCUAGUAACUACGUGGCCCCUGUGAAUUCCAUCCAGGCGGAAGAGUGGUAUUUUGGAAAGAUGGGGAGAAAGGAUGCUGAAAGAAUGCUGCUGUGCCAAGGCAACCCAAGAGGAACAUUCCUUAUACGAGAAAGUGAGACCACCAAAGGCGCUUACUCUCUGUCCAUCCGUGACUGGGAUGAAGCCAAAGGAGAACAUGUGAAGCAUUACAAGAUCCGCAAGCUGGACAGUGGUGGCUAUUACAUCACCACACGCUCACAGUUUGAAACAGUGCAGCAGCUGGUCGAGCACUACACAGAGCGUGCCGCAGGCCUGUGCUGCCGCCUCGCCGUCUCAUGCCACAAGGGGAUGCCCAAGCUAGCUGACUUGUCUGUCAAAACCAAAGACGUGUGGGAGAUCCCGCGGGAGUCACUGCAGCUCAUCAAGAAGCUGGGCAACGGGCAGUUUGGGGAAGUUUGGAUGGGCAUGUGGAACGGCACCACAAAAGUAGCGGUGAAGACGCUGAAGCCAGGCACUAUGUCACCCGAGGCCUUUCUGGAGGAGGCCCAGAUCAUGAAGAGGCUGCGACAUGACAAGCUGGUGCAGCUGUAUGCUGUUGUCUCAGAGGAGCCCAUCUAUAUUGUCACCGAAUUUAUGAGCCAAGGAAGCUUGUUGGAUUUCCUGAAGGAUGGAGAUGGACGGUAUCUUAAAUUACCUCAGCUAGUGGACAUGGCAGCUCAGAUUGCAGCAGGGAUGGCCUACAUUGAAAGGAUGAACUACAUCCACAGAGAUCUACGGGCUGCCAACAUCUUAGUGGGUGACAAUCUAGUGUGCAAAAUUGCAGACUUUGGAUUGGCUCGGCUGAUUGAAGAUAACGAAUACACGGCACGACAAGGUGCCAAGUUUCCUAUCAAGUGGACUGCACCAGAGGCAGCACUCUACGGCAAAUUCACAAUCAAGUCGGAUGUAUGGUCCUUCGGGAUCCUCAUGACGGAACUUGUCACUAAAGGCAGAGUGCCAUAUCCAGGAAUGAACAAUCGAGAAGUCCUGGAGCAAGUGGAGAGGGGCUACCGCAUGCCGGCCCCUGUAGGCUGCCCAGCUUCACUGCACGAACUCAUGUUACAGUGUUGGAAGAAGGACCCCGAGGAGCGUCACACCUUUGAGUAUCUGCAGUCUUUCUUAGAGGACUAUUUCACCGCUACUGAACCUCAGUAUCAGCCUGGGGAGAACCUCUGAGUAGACCACUUGGGAAAGACAACAGCUUCACCACAAAUGAGCUUCAAGCACCAAGGACCCUGGAGUUCUUACUGCUGACACUUGCACAGGCCAAGCUGCCAGCCACAGGCCUUGCAGGAUCUACUAAAACAGAUUAGUGAAGCAAUGAACUUCGUCAUACUCAUUGUGGUCUUCACUCUGGUGGUCUGUUGGGGUAACAAAAGUGAUGAUAUGUACUCUCACCCCAUAGACUCCAAAAUUGAAACUUCUUAUCAACCGUGCAAGACUUUUGCCCUCGGUUUGUGCCACAUUAGAGUGCCCCUUGUGGGAAGGAUGAAGCGAGGAAGUCUCCCUCCCUUUCCUCCUUUUUUUAGCGAUUUCCUGCACAGACACUGAAAAACUGUAGAGAGCAACCAAAAGAGUUAUUUUUCUCUUUUCCAAAUUGCACUUUUUCCAGCAGAUAUUUUCUACUUCUUAAAACCAAUUUUGUUUCUUUUCACUAACAGAGAAUUUCCCUUUAUAUUGUAUUUUAUAAGCAUUUACCUAGAGCUCUCAUUUAAUAUUACAACGGUUGUGAUGUUUAAAGUUAUUUAAGUUAUGCUUUACAAAGUGGCUUUGUUGUGGUCGACCGCCAUUGUUCAGAUUAUUCACUUACUGCAAAAACAAGAUGUCAUCUCUGGACUUUUAUUGCAAGUGCUUUUAUUUUAUUUUAUUAUUAUUGCAUCAAGCUUUAUAAAACAUCCUGUAAGUGGCACUGGAAAUGUCUGAGUGUGUUAUGGUUCAGUGGGCAAAAUGUGAAAUGGUGUUUUUUAACAAAACCUUGGAGACUUUGGGCUUUACCUUUUGAAACUGAAGCAGUUUCUUUUAACUCAGGUCUUAUCUGAGUUGAUUUUUUAGCAUUAAUUGUUGACCAAUUUUAUGUUGCUCUAGUUUACAGGAAAACAUCAAGUAAAACCUAGUGUUCUAGGGUCUUUUAACAUUGCCAUUAAUUUUGGGCGGUGAACUUUUUAAUGUCCUAUAUGCCUUCUCCUUGCACCUGUCUUAGAGGCAUCUCAUAUUGUACUUGGGUGAAUAAUUCCUUUUCAUUGGUAGACUGUGGGGCAUCUGAUUAAAACACAAUAUUUGUAAAAUACUGGUCAUCUGUGAAAAGUACCUUUUUUAAAGGAGUUUGAACAAUUUGAUUUAGGAUGGUCAGCGACUUAAAGGUCACAAACCUGAAUCUAUGGGCAGAAUGUUUUGCAUAGUUUUGUCUAAAAGAUUUAAUGAUCCUUACUUUUUUUUUGCACGAACAGCUCUUUGGCAGCUAGGCCAGACACAACAGCAUAAAGUCAUAAUAGUCAAGUGUGCUCUUUGUCACCAUCUGCUAUAACACUUCGAGAAUAAACGUCAUGUUCAGCCAGCCAGUCACCUUCAUAUAUUCCAUCUGAGGUAUUACUAAGUUUACAAUCAGAGGCAUUUCAUAAGAUUUCCUUGUUCACGCUGUAAAUAAUGACUCCGUAAUUCCUUUGUUCUCAAUAUCCAGUCACAUUUGAAGAAAUUUUCAUUAUACUAACUGCGAGAACACAUAAUCUCACUAUGGCAUUCACAGCCAUUUUAAAUUUACUCACACGGUGUCAGUUCCUUCAUUAUUCCACCAAUAUGUGCAGGUUAGGUCAACUGGCAUCUCUAAAUUGACCCAGCUUGAGUGAUUGUGGCUUGUGAAGCAAUCGCAUCCUGUCCAGGGUUUGCUUCCACUUUGAGUCCAAUGCUGACAGAAUGAACACCAGCCUCCUUCAGCCUUGGGUAAGUGGCUGAGGAAAUAGAUGUAUGCAAAAGAGGUUCCAUUAGAAUUUUCUCAUUUGGCUAAGUAUCUCUCAUGUUUCAUACAUUUUUCAAAACUUACUUUGUUAAAAAAAAUAUAUACAGUAUGUUAUUCCUUCAGGAUCUUCCAUCCAUUUUCUAACCCGCUGAAUCUGAACACAGGGUCACGGGGGUCUGCUGGAGCCAAUCCCAGCCAACACAGGGCACAAGGCAGGGUGCUAACCCACCACAGGACACACACAAACACACACCAGGGCCAAUUUAGAAUUGCAAUUCCACCUAACCUGCAUGUCUUUGGACUGUGGGAGGAAACCGGAGCGCCCGGAGGAAACCCAUGCAGACACGGGGGAGGACCCGGGUCUCCUAACUGCAAGGCAGCAGCACUACCACUGCUCCACUGUGCCGCCCCUUCAGGAUCUUACAAUCAAUAAUCAUUUCAUCUUAUGUACUGGUUAGUGAACUUGAUCCAGUAAUAAUAUGGCUUGUUCACACAUAAACAGACAUUUCUCAGUUUCUGGGAAUCAUACUAGAAAAUUGGUCAGGUUGUGUGUUCAAGAAUAUCAACAGCAGCUUUCCUUUACACAUAAGCCUGACCGAGCAGUUCAACUGGUAACAUCCUAGUGUCACCAUUUUGCUUGGACAGGGUUCAUUUGAGUAGGAAAAUCAAACGUAUGACCUGGAAGAAACCUCAAAAAAAAUACAUUUCAGUCCUACCUGUACCCAAUAAUGUGAAGAGAUAUUUGAGUUUAACAUAAUAUAAAAUAUUAUGUUAUCUUCUGCCCUUCUUUCUGAGGCUUCUAAACCCACCACUUCAUAGCUAAUUUUAUAGUUAUUGAGAUAUGUUUCCUCUUAAAAGCUAUUUUGCUUAUUUUCAUCACAAGCUUUCACAUAAUUAACAUAUUGGAUAUCAAGUGACACUUCGUAAGGCCUGCAUUGAAAACUAGUGUGGCCUUACCAUUGCAGUAUCCAUCCAAUCAAAGAAAAAUGGGAGACCAUUAUAAGAAAUUCUCAUGUGGGGAUUGAAAUUUGGUUUGUUAAGUUUGACAUGAUUAUAUAGAAUUUUGCUUUCUUCAAAUAUAUUUCAGUAAAAAAGAAAGAAGUUCAUGCAUCACUAUCAUAUGUGAUCUAAAUCCAUAACCCAUACAAUUCAGAAUAUUACGGUCAAAGUCACUUUUAUUAUCUUAAUGGGAAAUUUGUUUUCAGCAGUAAAGUACAAAGAAUAGGAUACUGUUACACACACACUUGUUAUGAUCAGUAGAUGCACCCAGAAGAUUUAUACAGAAAGGGGUAAUGAGCUAAUAACAUUACACCAUAAUAAUUCUGAAUUUGGUAGAAUCCCUGCAGCUACAGGAUUUUCAUGACACUCUACUCAGGACGAUUUUGAACUUGUGUGUGGCUCUAACAUUUUAGCUUCCAACCCACUAGGGAAGAAUUAAAGUCCACUGCAGAGUGUUCAUACAUUCAUCUAUAUUACUUAGGGUCAUCAUUUGAUCAUGUAUAAGAUAGCAAUUUGCAGAAUAUUAAGAUCAGUGGCUCAUGAUGCUCUAUAAAGACCACAUUGAAUGGUUUGAGACUCCAGCCCGUACAAUAUAUGAGUUCCUUAUGAAUUCUUCAAAUGUCCAUAUCCAAGCAGUGCCGUAAAAACGCACAAUUGUAAAUCACUGUGCUUUGCUUUUGAUAAAAGUUCUCUCCUCCUUUCUCCAAGCAGCAUUUUCUAUUUUUUUUUUAUUUUGCAUAUCCAGUUAGUCACGUGUGUUUGCUCUAUAGGGCUUUAUAACCCAAACAUGCCAUACCACCCAGCAUAAAACAUAUUAAAUGUUUUCAAGAUGAACAAUCACUAUUUUAGUUGUCAUAGGAAUGUACUGUCUGUGAACAUUUCUGACAGCAUUUUCUUUAGCCAACGAAGCCAGGAUUUACUCCUAUUUUUUUGGAAGCAAACAUUAAGAUUACAGAGGCAGUGUCACAAUUUAUUGAGUUGAUAAAAACAUGGGUGUAUGUUAAUGUACACAUUUAUUAGCUUACUUUUCAUAUAGCAUAUCAAUUAAUGUAAUAAUUGACCACACAUUCCUUUUAGUAAAUUAUCAAAUCUUCAGUUGGUCUCUUUGCAAAACAAUGAAUUGAGUUUAUCUUUAGAUUCAUUCCCUGAUUACUUUUUUUUUAUCCAAUUUGACAAUUUCUCAGCAGGACAAUUUAGGAACAGGACUACUCAAUUCAGUCCAUGGUGGGCCAAAGGCUGCAGGUUUUAAUUGUAAUUCAUCUCUAAAUCAGAUGACAAUUCGUUGUUGUGAUUAGACUCCUUCAUUAGUCUGAUGUCUUGUUGUCCUUUUUCUGUGCUCAGAAUGUGACAACAAUAUAAAAUAUAUAUAAGCUGCCGAUAAAUACUGUGAUAGGUUUGUCCACAUGGGUUCAUUUCCUGCAUUUCUUUGCUGCUAUUCUUAUAUAAAACUGAUUGACAUUUACAUUAAACAAGUUCAGGUGUGAAGAAUGAUGAAAAUGUGCCUUCUCUUUAGGGCCAAAAGUCUUUUUACAGUGAGAGGUAAAGACCUGAUAGGAAGAGGCUUCCUCUUAUAGUGAAAUGAUAGUUCAGGAAGUCAAUGAAAUACUGUGCUCUGCUUGGCGCAGAGCUGCCUCCCUGACUGCUCCUCUUUCUAAAAACCACUACUAAGAUUAGUUUUCCUGCCUCAUUUGUGGGUUGUCCCUAUGUGUCCACCUGCAGGUAGAAAAGAGCUGUUAAUUAUGCCACUAUCCUACUGACUAUACAAUUUAGCAUAACAAGCUCAACCUGCUUAAUGCAAUUUAGGGUCAUGGGAGGCACAAUGCAGAAACCAGUUCUGGGCAGGAUGUUAAUCUAUCAGAGGCAAUUGUGACAUUUUAACCCAUAAUACAAUUUUCUCAAUUCCUUAGGUUCUUUUUUGUAUUAUGGACUAGAUAACAUUAGGCUCAAAGCCCAUUUUAGCAUAGCCAUAAUGUUUUGGUAAGUGUUCUUAUAAGGCCAAAUCACUGUCAGCCAGAAAAUGAGACCCUUCUGUCUUUGGCUCUGGUGGCAACCUGAGCCUAAGAAAACAAAAUAUAUUUCUGUGAAUUAAAGCGCUUCGAAAGAACUCAGGUUUACUAAACACUGUCAAAAAUCAAAAUGAAAAAAAAAAAACUGUGUAAAAUCACCCAGAUUCCUGAACUCAGAAAUUUGCGAACCUUAUUUAAUCCAAAAAUUAAAUAAGGCACACACCUCAGUCUUUGAUUAAGAGCUUGGCUUCAACAAAAAAACUUGCAUGCAUUAUGGCCCUCAUUGGAGGUAGUAGAGUAGUCCGAAUUUAGGCCCAAACACUCAUAUUUAAGGAGUUUCAUCCUGUGCUCAGAGAGGAGGUGCUGAACAAUACGUUAAACCAAUUUAUUUGUACUGCAUAUCAUAUGAUGUUUGUCCAAUUGAUGAAUUUUUACUUCUGAUGUUGGUUAACGGUGGUAUAGCAUGGAUUUCACAGAGGGUACCUUCUACUGAUAUUCAUUUCUGACAAGCAUUGUAUUAUUUUCUAUAAUCCUCUUAUAAUAUUAAUAAAGGAGUGUUGAGAUUGCCCACUCAGUCAUUGGCUUAUAUACUGGUUACUGGGUUUAGGUUCUUGGGUGGGGCGGUCAGCGGUCUUCUCAUUUUCCUCUGCCUCUUGUGUUUUAAUUUCUGUUCACCCCAGUGAUUGGUGCUCUCUGCUUUGGGUGAGAAAGAUGAGGUGACAUUUCAGCACUGUUUGAAAUUAUCCAUUCCUGUUUGAAAUCUUAUGCUCAUGUGGUUAUUUGAGAUCACACCUUACCUCUCUUGAAAAUGCCUUUUUUUCUAGUGUGUAAAUAAAAAUAAUGAAUACAUUGUU